rnacentral:rRNA from 1 species
UACGUAGGGUCCGAGCGUUGUCCGGAAUUAUUGGGCCUAAAGGGCUCGUAGGCGGUCUGUCGCGUCGGGAGUGAAAACUUACAGCUUAACUGUGAGCGUGCUUCCGAUACGGGCAGACUUGAGGUAUUCAGGGGAGAACGGAAUUCCUGGUGUAGCGGUGAAAUGCGCAGAUAUCAGGAGGAACACCGGUGGCGAAGGCGGUUCUCUGGGAAUAUCCUGACGCUGAGGAGCGAAAGCGUGGGGAGCAAACAGG